rnacentral:rRNA from 1 species
CAAUAGCGUAUAUUAAAGUUGUUGCAGUUAAAAAGCUCGUAGUUGGAUUUCUGGUGGGAGCGAUCGGUCUGGCGCUUAGCGCGAGUACUUGCAUCGUCUCCGGCCAUCCUUGGGGAGAGUCUGUCUGGCAUUACGUUGUCGGGCAGAGGAUCCUCAUCGUUUACUGUGAAAAAAUUAGAGUGUUCAAAGCAGGCUUAUGCCGUUGAAUAUAUUAGCAUGGAAUAAUAAGAUAGGACUUUGGUACUAUUUUGUUGGUUUGCGCACCAAAGUAAUGAUUAAUAGGGACAGUUGGGGGUAUUCGUAUUCCGUUGUCAGAGGUGAAAUUCUUGGAUUUACGGAAGACGAACUACUGCGAAAGCAUUUACCAAGGAUGUUUUCAUUAA